GUCCUUCCGUAAGUAUCAAGGGAAGAGAAGAGAAACUGCUCUUUUCAAUCUCAUCUCGGGAGAAGGAAGAAAAAAGUUAUGGAAACAGCAGGUGAGAAAGACAGGCCUGCAAAAGAACGUUCAUUCAACACAUAUUUGUCCGUCAGCCACUGUGUGUCAAGGGCGACAUUAGUUACUAAACACCAUGUUCUCAUCAGACUCCCUGAAGAAAUCGACAUUGGAAUUGCUCAAACAUCCACUGACAGAAAAGGAAGAUAAAUAAGUCACCUUCCCACCCAGACAGAUUCCCACCUGGAUCGCGGUUCAGAAACCAAACCAGCUGAGUCAGCCGAGAGGAAGGCUCCCCCUCGGAGGAACUUAGCUUAAGGGGUGGGUCCAAAGGCCACGUCUCUCCCCAGCCAGGCUCCCAACAAACGGGAAAACUCAAACCCAGCUCGGUCACUGGCACUUUAACAGCAAGGCAGGACCUGCUCUCACCUGAGCCUUCUGACCCAAUUACCAAGUUCUGCAACUGAAACCUUCACCCCUGGGAGCAGCUCACAGUGGGCAGCAUUCUCCCAAGAUGGCAGUACACAGGAGCAACGCUGCCCCAGCCUCCUCCUCCUCCAUGCCCCACCUCCAUCACAGCUAACCCUCUCCACCUUCUGAAAGACGACCGACAUCUCCUCCACCAGCCACCCGUACCUAAGACUACAAGAACAGGCAGAGAGGGAAAAUUUGGAAGCAACCAAAAUCACAGAGAAAAAUAUCUAAAUAGACAUUCAUAGGCUGCAAUAUCAAGUAGCCAUUAACAUUGAGGCAGCUGAAGAAUUUUUACUGGAUUUGGGAAAAUGUUUAAAUAUGUACUUAAGGGGGGAAAAGGCAUCAUACAAUAUUGACUGUAUAGUAGUAGCACCAUCCUGUAACAUACUAUGCACUUGUGUACAUAAGCACAGAGAAUUUUUGAAAGGGAAAGAAAUAAUACAUCGAUGCAACAAGAAGUUCUUAGUGUUUACCUGGUGAUAGGACUGUGGGUGAAUUUUAUACGUGCCUAAGUACUUUUAUAUACAAUUAACAUUUUCCUACAAUGACAUGUUUCGAUUUACAACUUAAAAACAAAACACUACAAGUAGUAUUUUUUUUAACCACAGGAAGCUAAGACAUUUCUUGGCCACUGGGAGAUAUAAAAGAUGAUGGCCUUCAGCUAAUGAAACCAUCGUAACAACAAUCCUCUAUCUACAUAGGCUUAACAGUUUUUACAUGCACUUUUAUUUAACGUGUCUGAUUUCAUCCUCAUAAUGAAAUUAUCAUCCCCAUUUUACAGCUGGGUUAACUGAGGCACAGCAAAGUGUUUUAUCUGGGGCCUGGACCCAACACUUCUGAGUCAGAGUGUGCUGUACCAUAUCCUGCCACUGCACCCAGCCUUCUAAGUCCCUCCCUUCUCCUAUACACCAAGAAAGUAAAUGAGAAACAUCAACAAAGAUCCAAGCAGCAUGGAGGGCCAACGAAGUGGUUAGGGAGGAGACUGCAUGACACCCACCCUUAAACACACCUAAACCAGAAUUCUCUUUCAGAACACUCUCACCACCGAAAUCCUAAUGCCCACAGAACAAGCUUAGCCUAGUUU